rnacentral:lncRNA from 1 species
CCCCAUCUUCAAUCUCUCUCUCCUCUCUUGAUCUCUCUAAUAAUACAAGUCAUACAUACCAGCAAGAAGCUAACCAGUAUUCUGUGUGUGUUUUGGUGAUGAGGUGGUGAAAAAAAUAUACACGGAAGAAAAGGAAAGGAAAUAAGGUCAUGGGGAGGUUUAACAAAGGGCUUCUUACCGAGUUUCUUGGCAUUCUGUCCACCUCCUCACCAAACUAUAUGUAUGUAUGUAUGUAUGUAUACACAAAAAAAAAACUGUGUUUGUGUUAUAUACUACGUAUUUGAUAUUUCAACCACAAUCUAUAUAUCUAUAUAUCUCAAUCUCAGUUUCAAUUUUAGUUUCAUGUAUAUAUAGAUGGAGGUGGGCAUACUGCCAACGGAGCUCUGUUGGUCUCUCUUUGCAAAACCCUUUCUCAUCCAUCCAUAUCAUCAAUAAUCUCGAUCGAUCGCUUAUAUAUAUAUAUAUAUAUAUAUAUAUAUAGAAUCAAUCAAUAAAUUCAUUCUAUAUUUAUUUAUACCCCCUAUAUAUAAUUAAAGUAACAAAUUAACAUCUAGCUAGCUAGGUAAGUAAGUGGCAUUUUGUAUGUGUUUUCCCUUUUGUUUGUAUAUAUACUUGAUCAUAACCCACCCUACACUAAUAUUUCCUGUAAGUUUCUUCUUUGAUCAAAAAUUAGAUACUCCUGCUUAAUAUUCAACCCCAUAGUUAGAGUGAGGAGCAUGUUGAUCGAUCCCGUGGGUAAACCCUAAUAUCUGCUCCAAGGCUACUCGUUAAUAAUUUAUUUUGCUGGCUAUAAUUAUUAUUUCUCUCUUUGUUUGAAACUACAAGGCUUUGCAUCUAAAUUCUAUUUAUGUUGGUUUGUUUUUCAUUUUCUAUUCCUUGUGCAGAGUUUCUUGAUAUAUAUAUAUUCUCUAUGCCCCAAGUAACAAGGGCAAAAAUGUACCGGCAAAAGAAUCCAUUCGUGAAUAGCUUUGAAUUUCGGUUUGCUUAAAUUCGCAGGGAUUUUGUUGAUGAAGUUGUGUCGUAUUGAUAUUGGUGGCUUCUUACCUACUAUUUUUGUUUUGAAAAUUAUAUAUACCACUCGUUUAUGAUAUAUGCAUAAUGCAUUGUAUUGUGGAGUGCAUAUCGUACAAUGUAGUUUAUGAUCGAGGAUCGAAAAUGUUACAG